GAGAGAGGUAGGAGAAGGAAAGAGAGUGAGAGAUGUUGAUAAAGAGAGAGAGAGAGAGAGGUAGGAGAAGGACAGAGAGGGAGAGAUGUUGAGAGAGAGGUAGGAGAAGGACAGAGAGGGAGAGAUGUUGAUAAAGAGAGAGAGGUAGGAGAAGGACAGAGAGGGAGAGAAGUUGAUAAAGAGAGAGAGAGAGGUAGGAGAAGGAAAGAGAGUGAGAGAUGUCGAUAAAGAGAGAGAGAGAGGUAGGAGAAGGACAGAGAGUUAGAGAUGUUGAUAAAGAGAGAGAGAGAGGUAGGAGAAGGAAAGAGAGUGAGAGAUGUCGAUAGAGAGAGAGAGGUAGGAGAAGGACAGAGAGGGAGAGAUGUUGAAAAAGAGAGAGAGAGAGAGAGGUAGGAGAAGGACAGAGAGGGAGAGAUGUUGAUAAAGAGAGAGAGAGAGAGGUAGGAGAAGGACAGAGAGGGAGAGAUAUUGAUAAAGAGAGAGAGAGAGAGGUAGGAGAAGGACAGAGUGAGAGAUGUCGAUAAAGAGAGAGAGAGGUAGGAGAAGGACAGAGAGUGAGAGAUGUUGAUAAAGAGAGAGAGAGAGAGAGAGGUAGGAGAAGGAAAGAGAGUGAGAGAUGUCGAUAGAGAGAGAGAGGUAGGAGAAGGACAGAGAGGGAGAGAUGUUGAUAAAGAGAGAGAGAGGUAGGAGAAGGACAGAGAGGGAGAGAUGUUGAUAAAGAGAGAGAGAGGUAGGAGAAGGACAGAGAGGGAGAGAUAUUGAUAAAGAGAGAGAGAGAGGUAGGAGAAGGACAGAGAAGGAGAGAUAUUGAUAAAGAGAGAGAGAGAGAGGUAGGAGAAGGAAAGCGAGUGAGAGAUGUCGAUAGAGAGAGAGAGGUAGGAGAAGGACAGAGAGGGAGAGAUGUUGAUAAAGAGAGAGAGAGGUAGGAGAAGGACAGAGAGUGAGAGAUGUCGAUAGAGAGAGAGAGGUAGGAGAAGGACAGAGAGGGAGAGAUGUUGAUAAAGAGAGAGAGAGGUAGGAGAAGGACAGAGAGGGAGAGAAGUUGAUAAAGAGAGAGAGAGAGGUAGGAGAAGGAAAGAGAGUGAGAUAUGUCGAUAGAGAGAGAGAGGUAGGAGAAGGACAGAGAGGGAGAGAUGUUGAUAAAGAGAGAGAGGUAGGAGAAGGACAGAGAGGGAGAGAUGUUGAUAAAGAGAGAGAGAGAGGUAGGAGAAGGACAGAGAGGGAGAGAUGUUGAUAAAGAGAGAGAGAGAGAGGUAGGAGAAGAACAGAGUGAGAGAUGUCGAGAGAGAGAGAGAGAGGUAGGAGAAGGACAGAGAGGGAGAGAUGUCGAUAAAGAGAGAGAGAGAGAGGUAGGAGAAGGACAGAGAGGGAGAGAUGUUGAUAAAGAGAGAGGUAGGAGAAGGACAGAGAGGGAGAGAUGUUGAUAAAGAGAGAGAGAAGUAGGAGAAGGACAGAGAGGGAGAGAUGUCGAUAGAGAGAGAGGUAGGAGAAGGACAGAGAGUGAGAGAUGUCAAUAAAAAGAGAGAGAGAGGUAGGAGAAGGACAGACACUGGGAUGGUAGGAUUCUUCUGAGAUGAAUCAAGUACAGAGGGUUAGCAAGGUGAAAGAGAGGAAGGAGAGAUAGGGAGAUAAAGGGAUGGAGGGAUGGAGAGAGGAUGGAGGGAUGGAGAGAGGAUGGAGGGAUGGAGAGAGGAAGGAGAGAUAGGGAGAUAAAGGGAUGGAGGGAUGGAGAGAGGAUGGAGGGAUGGGAGAGAGGAUGGAGGGAUGGAGAGAGGAUGGAGGGAUGGAGAGAGGAUGGAGGGAUGGAGAGAGGAUGGAGGGAUGGAGAGAGGAUGGAGGGAUGGAGAGAGGAUGGAGGGAUGGAGAGAGGGCCGGGGGGUGGAGAGAGGAUAGAGGGAUAGAGAGAGGAUGGAGGGAUGGAGAGAGGAUGGAGGGAUGGAGAGAGGAUGGAGAGGAUAGAGGGAUAGAGAGAGGAUGGAGGGAUGGAGAAAGGGCCGGGGGGUGGAGCUGGGUUACAGAACA